CUGCCCUGUAGACUGGGAUAACUUCGGGAAACCGAAGCUAAUACCGGAUAAUCUUUAGCAUCACAUGGUGCAAAAGUAAAAGUUGGGUUUUACCUAACACUACAGGAUGGGCCCGCGGCGCAUUAGCUAGUUGGUAAGGUAACGGCUUACCAAGGCGACGAUGCGUAGCCGACCUGAGAGGGUGAUCGGCCACACUGGGACUGAGACACGGCCCAGACUCCUACGGGAGGCAGCAGUAGGGAAUCUUCCGCAAUGGACGAAAGUCUGACGGAGCAACGCCGCGUGAACGAUGAAGGCCUUCGGGUCGUAAAGUUCUGUUGUUAGGGAAGAACAAGUACCGUUCGAAUAGGGCGGUACCUUGACGGUACCUAACCAGAAAGCCACGGCUAACUACGUGCCAGCAGCCGCGGUAAUACGUAGGUGGCAAGCGUUGUCCGGAAUUAUUGGGCGUAAAGCGCGCGCAGGCGGUCUCUUAAGUCUGAUGUGAAAGCCCACGGCUCAACCGUGGAGGGUCAUUGGAAACUGGGAGACUUGAGUGCAGAAGAGGAGAGUGGAAUUCCAUGUGUAGCGGUGAAAUGCGUAGAUAUAUGGAGGAACACCAGUGGCGAAGGCGACUCUCUGGUCUGUAACUGACGCUGANGCGCGAAAGCGUGGGGGA
rnacentral:rRNA from 1 species